GGCCCCGUAGCUCAGCGGUUAGAGCAGGCGACUCAUAAUCGCUUGGUCGCGGGUUCGAAUCCUGCCGGGGCUA
rnacentral:tRNA from 1 species